CAUUAGGUACAGUAUGUUUUGGUGAGAGCAUUUUUCCAGAGAGCCCUGUGUUUUUCCUUUUUAAAAGAGUUAUGAGGUAAAGUGGAUAAUAAACCAUUAUUUUUUACGCCGUUUUAAACGUCUCAUAACACAAAGUGUGAAGGACUAUUGUAUUUGGAGUGCACAAGUUUGGCCCGUUGUGACUAUUUUACAGCAAAGUUGCUUAUCAGAGACGCCGCCUGGCCUGGGACACUAACAUGCAACCUUCAAAAUGCGGACCGAUCCAUCCAGCUGGAGUCAGGACCCCGGAUCAGAGCUGUCUGCUAUCUGCACGAUAACUACUUGUGUCUGUUUAUCAUCAAGGUCAUGUGUGGGCGGAGUUUGGGUUCCUGGCUUCACAGUCUGGCACACCUGGUGCUGAUCAGCUCACUCACCUGCCUGCCAUCUGCUAAUCACCUCCACCCCACAAAAGCCCUGGUCUCCUCACACGACGCUGCCAGACCGUUUCACAGCUCCCCGAGUGGCUGUCUGCUAGACACCUCCACACCAGCCGAUGACGCAUUUCCCUCGUUUGCGUAAAUUAAACCCUUUUGGACUUUGAAUCUGCCUCUCCUGUCUGCUUUUGUAUCGGC